UCCGGUUUGGCACCGGCAGUCUCCCUAGAGUUCCCGGCAUUACCCGCUGGCAACUAAGGACAGGGGUUGCGCUCGUUGCGCCACUUAAGGCAACACCUCACGGCACGAGCUGACGGCAGCCACGCACCACCUGUGCGGGCUCCGUAGAGCACCGUGUUUCCACGGCUUUACCCCGCAUGUCAAGCCCAGGUAAGGUUCUUCGCGUCGCGUCGAAUUAAGCCACAUGCUCCGCCGCUUGUGCGGGCCCCCGUCAAUUCCUUUGAGUUUUAGCCUUGCGGCCGUACUCCCCAGGCGGGGCGCUUAAUGCGUUAGCUGCGGCACAGAAGGCCGGAGAGGCCCCCCACACCUAGCGCCCAACGUUUACAGCGUGGACUAC
rnacentral:misc_RNA from 1 species